UACGGAGGGGGCUAGCGUUGUUCGGAAUUACUGGGCGUAAAGCGCGCGUAGGCGGCUUUGUAAGUUAGAGGUGAAAGCCCGGGGCUCAACCCCGGAACUGCCUUUAAGACUGCAUCGCUAGAACGUCGGAGAGGUGAGUGGAAUUCCGAGUGUAGAGGUGAAAUUCGUAGAUAUUCGGAAGAACACCAGUGGCGAAGGCGGCUCACUGGACGACUGUUGACGCUGAGGUGCGAAAGCGUGGGGAGCAAACAGG
rnacentral:misc_RNA from 1 species